GUUUUUUAGUGUGUGUGUGUGUGUGUGUGUGUGUGUGUGUGUGUGUGUGUGUGUGUGUGUGUGUGUGUGUGUGUGUGUGUGUGUGUGUGUGGGGGGGGGGGGGGGUACUGUGAAUACUGUGCGUGUAUAUUUGCUUACUUACGACCAUAGCGGGUGGGCAAGCGUAUAGUCACUGUUAUCUCCAGAGCUGCCAGCUUGCCAGUGUUGAAUCUUAAUUAUUUGUGAUGUCACUGAUGUAUUCAUCAGAACCAGGUCACAUUCCCCUCUCCUCCUGCCGGCACAGCGAGGGACACGAGCAGAUCGAAGUGUGCGGAAUGUGAACUGCACGCGUGGGCACUCACCUCCUUGCCGAGGGCUGUUUAGGUGUGUUGUGUAUACAUUUUCAGUACAUAUACGCUCUGACUGUGGUUCUAGUGUUACUGUGAUCACCAGAGAUAUGUGACUAUUUUUGUAUGUCAUAAAUAAAUAAAUGACACUGUUACCCAUCGAAGAUUGCUAUUUAAUUAAAAAGAUGGAGGUUAAGUCACAUGUUUCCACAGUGAGAGUUCAAGGCCUAUUCUCGGGGAUAAACGAACCUCUGUACCUGCGUCGUCCCGUUGGAAAAGCGUAUGAGCUGUUUCUGAAAUGCAAAGCAGACUGUCAGAGCAAGCCAUCCUAUUCAGCACUGGAGGACAGGGAUGCCUGAUGCAUCGGUAAUGCGCCGACAGGAGUGAGGAACGAGCAAAGCGCCCGAUCAGUCUCGCUCUCUUUCUCCUCUGCGGAGGAAGCGAAACGCCCCCUCCCUCUCCUCCCUCUCCUCCCACACUCCCCUCCCUCUUGCCUCCCACCCACUCUCAUUCUCCUUCUCCCUCUCUCUCUUCUUCUCUUCCCUGGCUAUCUCUGCUUUCCUUCCUCUCACUAUCUUUCACCUCCGUAAUACUCCGCGCUCCGCCGAUAUCGCCCCCCUCCACGCACGCCCCCACCGUCUCCCUCCUCGUCCUCGUCUGUUUUCGCUCCCAGCC
ensembl:lncRNA